CCUGACUGACUGACCAAUUGAAAACUUUCCAAUCUUCUACCGUAGCUUUCUGAGUCAGUUGCAACAGUGUCUUAAUGGAUAUCAUUUUCCGCGUACGGCUGGCAAACUGCUUCUGAAAGAUUACGUACUCUUUCCUAUCUUCGGGUCUAGUGUAGAGGUUUCAACUCUAUUCAGAGUGCAGCUAGAAACCUAGCAAAAAAAAAAAAAAACAUUCCUCGGUGAUCAAAAUGGCGAGCAGAUGAAAACAAGAUUAAGUCAUAGUUGGAAAUCCAAAAAAAAAAGGUUUUAAAGUAACAACAGUUGAUCUAAAAGGUCGAUCCAGAAAAUUUCAACUGAAGCUGCGUAAUGCAUAAAUAAAAAACGAGGCGAACCGCCUGCAGGCCCGGAUAACUACAAAGGGCAUGGAAUGGAAGCAAAUGUUACUCUAAAGGUAUCCGAGUUCCGGCCGAAACUCAUUCUGCCAAGGAAAGUUCCGGAUGUGACGGAUCAAGGAUCGGAGAUACAUAUAACAUUAGCAUUAUCAAGGUAAUUCGUCGAAUGAGCGGAAGU